CUUACGGGGUCCUUGCUCAGGGGCCUGAGCCCAGCCCACUCGUCGGACUGCUGCCUGACAUCCUGGCCUCCCCCUCAGCAACUGCAGUGGGUCAGAGGCCUGAGGAAGGACAAACAUUGGAGCUCACUGUCGUGGAAUAGGGCUCCAGGGCUGCCGUCUCAUCUUGGCUUGGACUUGUGCUAAAAAGCUGUGGGAUGGAGGUUAACAGAAGCAAACAGGACAGGCCUCCGCAGCUGUCCGAAGAUGGGCUGUGGCACCUGUGGUGAAUUAGAGGAAGGCACCCCCUGCUGGCUGUUGCUGGCUCACAGGGCAGCCCAGGGAAGUGUAGAAGCUCCUCUGUUUCCUGCGGAUGUCCAUCACACCUUUGCAGCUGCUCCCAUGGAUGCGAAGGACUGACCCACCCGCACAUGUUCCUCCUCUGCGAUCUCUGGGCCUUUCCCUCAUGACUUCUCUGAUGCAUUUGGGCAGCUGUUUCCUGCAACCUGAGUGAUCAAUAGAUCUUCAUUCUUUUUGAAAGUAG
rnacentral:lncRNA from 1 species